GCUGGGUGUGGUGGCGCACACCUGUAAUCCCAGUAGCUCGGGAGGCUGAGGCAGGAGGAUCGUAAGUUCAAAGCCAGCCUCAGCAGCUUAGCAAGGCCCUAAGCAACUCAGCAAGACGACCUUGCCUCUA
rnacentral:sRNA from 1 species